rnacentral:rRNA from 1 species
GACGAACGCUGGCGGCGUGCUUAACACAUGCAAGUCGAACGGAAAGGCCCUGCUUUUGUGGGGUGCUCGAGUGGCGAACGGGUGAGUAACACGUGAGUAACCUGCCCUCGACUUUGGGAUAACUUCAGGAAACUGGGGCUAAUACCGGAUAGGAGCUCCUGCUGCAUGGUGGGGGUUGGAAAGUUUCGGCGGUUGGGGAUGGACUCGCGGCUUAUCAGCUUGUUGGUGGGGUAGUGGCUUACCAAGGCUUUGACGGGUAGCCGGCCUGAGAGGGUGACCGGCCACAUUGGGACUGAGAUACGGCCCAGACUCCUACGGGAGGCAGCAGUGGGGAAUAUUGCACAAUGGGCGGAAGCCUGAUGCAGCAACGCCGCGUGCGGGAUGACGGCCUUCGGGUUGUAAACCGCUUCCGCCUGUGACGAAGCGUGAGUGACGGUAAUGGGUAAAGAAGCACCGGCUAACUACGUG